CAGACGUGAUCUCGGCAAAUCCCUGAG
rnacentral:rRNA from 1 species